AGAUUAAACAUACUCAUACAUAUAUAAUAAGCGUACACGUACACUAUGGCACCCCGGCUCAGAGAAAACCGGAACGCCCCAUAUUCCAGCCCAGAGAUCGAGGAGAAGUCUUCUGGAAUAGGACAUUGCUUAGCAUAGAACAAACCAGCCUUCUAUUAUUACACGAAUAUGAAUACAAGGUCUCCGAUAUUACAAUGAAUAACAUCGGUACGGCGACACUACGCCAUCCUCAGUUUCUCUAUGCAAGCAGCAGAACAACUCGAAGCAGCGGAAUAACUCUAGCAGCGGAACAACGGCAACGGUGGUGAACUCCACUCCGCAGGGACUCUGGCUGGAACGCUUAUCCUAGCUCGCACGAACGGAAACCACGACAAGCAAGCAAUCAAAUCCGACAUGACCUGCAAACUGGCAUGACACGCCAGGUCAGUACAUUGAAUGUACUUGCAAGCUCACAAUAAACCAGAAGCAUUCAAGGCAGACAACAGCAUGGCAAUUACAGGUUAAACAGGAAUUACCAUGACAUCAUCAGAAUAACAUGGCAUGACCAACAUACACAUGAUACAGCUAUCACAACAUGAACAUAUUAAUCCAACAAUACUAGCAUGCAACAUGAAACCACUAUAUGCACCACUUAUCCUGCUCGGGCUACCUCGUAACCAUCACAUGCAUCACUUACCAACCUCGGACAUCACAUGAUCAUCACAGGUUCAAAUCAAGCUUGGUAUAAACAAUACCGUAGUAAUUAGUAAAUGACCACAAGGAGCUUGACCUUUACCCACGACUCUCGUACAACAUCACGAAUAUAAAACAACUCGGUAUCCUCGAUACCACCGUGAUCCUUACGGCGGUCACAACCACGACCAACACUUAGCCCCAAACCGUGAUCCUUACAGCGAUCACAACCCAACCAAUAACUGGCCCGUGAUCCUUACAGCGAUCACAACCCGACCAAUACAUGGCCCGUGAUCCUUACGGCGAUCACAACCCGACCAAUACAUCGCCCGUGAUCCUUACGGCGAUCACUACCCGACCAAUACAUGGCCCGUGAUCCUUACGACAAUCACAACCUGAUCAGUAAAAUGGCUCAUGAUCCUUACGGCGAUCACAACCCGACCAACACUUGGCCAACUUAUCUCACUGUUAUUAAGCACAUUAUUUUUAUUACUAUUGGCUCAUGGUGUGACCUUCUCUCGACCUGGGCCCUUAUCCACGGGCGCGGCUAUCGAUAGAUUUAAUAUACACUCUACAGAGGUUAGUACACUGUACCCACACUACGGAACCCAUGGCCUCACCCUCCCAUUCGGGUGGACCAACAGCAUUCCGACAAAACCGAUCUAUUGUCAUGACACUCUCCCGGCCCUUCCGACUCAUACCCCACCGGGCUAGUCCUGGGUGGCCCCGUGUCUACCUCCAGACACCUCGACCACCGUCGUGGCCAUGAUCCACACUGGGAUUCGGUGCCAAAAUUAACUUAACAACGGGCUCACAAGGUUAUGCUCCGCCUACCUGAUCAGGGUAGCACGCGCCCAUAACCUUCCCUAAAUUGAGGUACCGACCAAAGGCAUGACAAUAGACCCAGUUAGGACCGGCCCAUACCGUUAAGCAUGGUUGCACUGGUCAGCAUCGAUUCAGCGACACCAUGACUUAGCCAACAGGUGUUCAAGUUCAAUUUAAUCCGGUUAACUUGAAUGCAAAUAUGCUGAGCCAUGAUAAAAUAACAUGAUGCCAACUAUAAUACAUGAAUAUGAUAUCAACAUCACCAUGAGAGUAUCACAUAACUUUCCACCAUAUCAACAAUAACUCAUAUCCACCGAGCAUGGCAUACCGACUAGCAUGAUCAUCUCCAACAUCAACAUGUAAUACUAACCAGCAUAAACAUAUGAAAGAUAAUACUAGCAGGUAUAACAUGAUCACAGAGUAUAAGACAACAUAACAUAACAGUGAACAUGCAAAUCUGAACAUCAUCGGAACAACGAUAACCAUCUUUUCAACAAACAAACAUUUAUUGAAUAUUCAAGUUGAAAACCAUGGCUACUGCAUGACUAUCAUGCAAGUGGGUAUUGUGGCUUGCCUGGGGAUGAAGAAAACACCGGGGAGAAGUGAUGUGAAGCCGCGGAAAGAAUCGCCGGAAAACGUACUCUCUCGGAGGGGGCUGAAUAAGGGCAAGGGCAUAAUGGUCAUUUUCAAAGUGUCAAACCAUAGUGAAAGCAUGACCAAUAGAACGGGCUCGACGAAAUGAAGAAGUGGGCUUUGGAUUCACCUCAUUUGGAGCUACGGAUAAAAAGUUAUUGAGGUUUUACUGCGAGGGACCUAUCUGUAAAAAAUUAUUUUACAGUCUGGGCCAAAACAGAAAAAUGGAAAACGUAUUUCAGGGUUUACGCUUCCACUUACGCUGACAUGGCGGUGGACUGGUCAAAAGGCAGAGGCGGGGCCGGCUCCAGGGUGGCUGACGUGCGGGGCCCGCGGGACCCACGCGCUGGUCAACGCCCUCCUCCCGCUCUCCUUCUUCUUCCCCGACAGGAACAGAGGAGAGGCGAGGCAGGCGCUGGCCCGGCUGGCUCCGGCCAUCUCCGGCCAGGGCAAAGCCACCGGCGGGCGCGGCCCGACGCGACGGUUCCAUCCCCGACCAGAGGGAGGCGCGGGGAGGCAAAAAAUGGCGAAGGGAGGCGGCGGCAGGAGGUGACAAAGGCGGCGGCCAACCUUGGGAACGGCGGCCUGAAGCACUCCGGUGAUGAAUGGAGGGGCUGGGGAGGGUCGCCAGAGCACGGGGAACACUACGGUGGUGGCUAGGAGAGGAGGGGGACUUGGCUUCGGCCGGAUUUGAGCGGACCCGAAUGGCGGCCAUGGCGGCGAUGAGGGGUGCAAAGAGCUCCAGGUGCUCGGGCUAGUGGCUAGGCGGGGUUAGAGGAGAGUGGAGAGGCCAUUGGUGAGCUCGGGAGGGCUCGGGGAAGGGCUUAAAUAGCUGGGCGAGAGGGAUGCCGACCUGGCGCCGUCGGCGACGCGUGUCUGGCGCCGCGGACGCGUGCCCGCGUGCAUGGGCUCGGGGCAAACAACGGCGAGGCACAAGGCAGAGCUUCAUGGGGAAGAGACGGCCAAGAGAGAGGCAGAGGAAAGGGCUGAGCGCCGUUAAAACAUGUCGGAGCACUGUGCUCCCGUGGGCACUCGUCGGCGAGCGUCGGCGAGGGAGAUGCCGGAGGGGGUGAGGGUUCCAUGGUGAAGAGGACGACGAUGCUGAGAUCGUUGACACUCAGGGACAAACCAGAACCGACCGGAGCAACGCCGCUGUUGCCAACAGUGGCUAGACCACCGUUUUGGCUGGCUGUCCUCGUGGUCACCACUAGCAUGACGUGCUCUGGAGGUUUUACUAAGGUUAAAACAUGUCUACUGCGUAGUCCUUCGAAGGGUGGUCUCAACUAUGGUGGUAACUUGGUGAAAGAGUCUCUGGUCAAAAAGAUAUAACCCUCUGAAGUUUACUGCUAUAAAUUUCACCAGCUCAAUGGGAUCAACUGAGAAUUAUGGGAAGCCAAAUAGGUUGUCUAGGGUGUUUAGGAUAGGAAGGACUACAGUACUGGAAGUUGGGAGGGUAAAUGGAUCAAGAUAAAUCAUAGUUGCUUUGCAACUGCCAAACUGGUCCAGAGAAGAAGAUCAGGAUGGUGCACUCACAUGAUGUGUCCACUUGAGCUCCAAUUGGGCAAAUCCUGGUAAUUUGGUCAUAUGAUGAUGCUAUAAAAAGCUCAUGCCAAAUGGCCAAGGAAAAAUGGCACUUGCUUCACAAACAUCUCCUCUGGACAGAAACUUGAAAUAAUUAUGGUGGUCAAAUUGAUCAAUGAAAUGAUACCAAAUUGGGUGGAGAGAAGUUUUAUGGGUAUAAGAAUGACCUGGUAAUUUAUCAGAAUUUUUGAAGCAAUAUAAAAUAUACUUGCUUCACAACCUGAAAAUAUGGUCAGAAACAAAGAUUGGCUCCUGUGCUCACAUAGAUAAUUGGAUGGGGCUGCAAAUGGGUGGAGGGAGUUAAUAUGAGCACAUUAAGGACUGUGCAAAAGUUCAACUCAUUUGGGUACUCCUAGCUAGGACUUCCUUCACAAAGCCUUUUGUUUGAUAGAAACUUUGAAAAUUCACUUAGGAAGAUUGGCUAGGCAAAUAAAUUUUAACUUGUGCAUGGGGCAAUUAUUUGGACAUAUAUACAUGCACAAAAAGGUUGGGAGUCAAUAGGACAAAUAUAAAUGACACUUCCUUCACAAAGUGCCAUUCAGGGCAGAAUAGGAAAUGAAUUAUUGGGGAAUUAUUUUUGAUCAUGGCAGUGAAGAGUUUUGCCAUAUUGGAUCAAGAUAUGACCCAAACAAUUUAUGAGAAUUAUUUGGGAAUUUUAGGAGUGAUGGAGAUGUAGGUUGCUUCACAACCUAGGGAAAUUGGACUCAUUCCUUUAAUAGAAAAGGAAUAUUCUCAAUAAAAAGAAUAUUGGGAUUUGGGCUAGGAUGGAAAUUACAGGGUAUAGGGAAUGAUUUGGGAAUGACAAGCCACUCUGGAAGCAAAGAAGAGGUCAUCUUCUUCGGUUUCCAGACCAUAGAGCCACGGAAAAAGAAAACUCAGGCAAAAACCUCGGAAAAACAAAAGAAAUAGAAAGGGCCAAAAAUCAGGGUGUGACAAACCUUACCCCCUUAAAGAAAUCUCAUCCUCGAGAUUUGGUUGCUCAGGGAACAAGUAUGAAUAUUCUGACUUAAGGAAACCGUUUCCAACUCGGGUAUCCUUUUCCUUUAUUGUUGUUCCCAUUAAAUCUUUAUCCGACUCGCCCUGGGGUGGUUUGCUUUACUCUAUCCACAAUCUGACAGAUCUUACCUGGCUUGUUCAUUCUUAUAUAGGCUCCAAUUUCUUUUUAGAUCUGCUGACUAGCUGAGUGUGAUUUGAUUAUCAUGACUGGAAUAUAUGUCUGUCUCACAAAUCCAAAAGUGAUUUCCGCUGGGUGUGUCAUCCGGCACUGACAACCUUUCAUGUAAUGAUAAUCAGAAUUUUCUAAUGAAAACUCAAGAUCUGACUCAUUACAUUUGGUUCGUCCACUAAAUGCAUGUCCUUUGGGUUCCAACAGGGAGUUAAAACAUAACCGCUUCCUGAAAGAUUCUGACUCAUCGCAGAAGUAUCUGAUUCAUCUUAACCGGUUCCACUGUCAUGAGUAUCGGAUCCGUACCGAAUAUUUGAUUGUCUCCUGUCGCAGCCAACAUAAAGGGUUUGGCCUGUAUGAUAAUAUCUGCGGAUUUGAUAGAAAAAAAUUUGUUCACGACAGGCUAUCCAUGAUGAUUCAUAUAAGUGAGGACUCAGGCUUCCAGACUAUUAUUCCUCAUUUUUCUAACAGGUAACCCAUUAAACGGCAGGUUCAACACCUCCCAAGUUCUGAUCGUUGGGAAAUGAUCAUCCGAAACCGUUGCAAGAAAUCAGCAAAUAAAUCAGUAUCCACCAGAAUGGUAUUUACAACUCAGAUCUGGGACAUUACUGAAAUAACUCAACCACGGCUCAGGAUGAAAAAGCAACUCAGAGAAUGAGACCGGGUCGAUAAGAAGAAGGUGGCAGCUCCCUAAAAUAGCCAAAAAGCAGCUAUAGGGGUACUAUCACAAAAAGAAACUCAACAGUUGUACGAGAUAGCCGAAAAGCAGCUCAGACUCGUGACAAUUGUUGAAGAGAGAAACAAAAAUCGGCAUCCAUCCCGGAUAGCUAGAAACAGCUCAGAUCACAGGCGUGGUGUCAUCAUAGGAGAAAAAGGGGACAAGGGCAUCAUCAGGAUCAUUUUCCAGGUUCAUGGGUACUUGUAUUGAGCUCAUUGAGGUCGUCAAUCCUCAUAAUCCUUUGUCACACUAUGGUGUAUACUGGCUUUAUUUUCGUAACCAUCCUCACGUGGUUGUCCGAUCCUCAUUCGAGUGACUUGUAAAAUCUUGAUGGUAUGCUCAUUGCAUACAUAUAUAUAUGAGGACCUGAUUCCGAGAUAGACGUGAAUUCUGACUGAUUCUUGAUUCUGACCAAAAUGUUGCCGAUCUGAUUCUUGGGAUUCACUGUCAUAUGCUGUCAAUUCACAGCGUACUACCUUGUACCAAUGUCUUACUGAGGAAUAUUUGUUGGUUUGUGCUUGAAACUUUCAUCGGACAACUUGCUGAAGAAGACUGAAUAUCGUGCUUCAGAAGCUUACCCCCUUAAAGACUUUGCUAGGGAAAGACUGAGUACCUUAUGCUGGAAGCUUUUGCGGUCUCUUACUGAAGAAGGCAGAGUACCUUGCGCGGGAAAUCACCCACGUAUCAUACUGCGGAAAAUAGAUGAAUCUUGCCUUGGAAAAUUCUCUGGUAUUUUGCGAGGGAAGAAUGGGUUGCUUUCAUCAGAAGCUUCUCAUUGUGAUAUGCGGGCCGAUUUCCACAUAUAUAACCAUCUGAAUAUUUUUUAUGUUGUUUUCUUGCAUGAAACGGGGGUUUGCAGGACUAUCCUUCUUUCUGAGUAUAUGCCAUAUUUUUGCUUGCUUCCAGGUACAUCGAGUUCCAAAAUCAUCCUCGACGAAAAAUUAAACUUGUAUCUAAGCCAUACCUUUGAUAAUAUUCUGUCAACCUUGCACACCAUUUAUCUUCUUGCUGAUUUAAUCACGUUGUUGUGAUGAGUGCAUGCUAAUGCAAACUUGAUACUGACGGUCCAUCUAGGAUUUCUUUUGUAUCCAGACAAGAUAUUCCCAAUUUCACUGCAGUCAGCUGAUAAUUCCAUUUUGUUUAGCUGAGUUUCCAAAUAUAUGCAUUUCUUUCUGACUCUUUGGGUCCGGUGUCGGCUGACGAGCAACUUUAAUAGGGAAAAAUUAUUAACACCGAAGGCCCAAAGAAAGGAACAAUAGAAACAACUAAAACAAAAGCACACAAGCAUUCUACUAAUAUAAUUAAUCAAGUAAUCAUCACAUAUUACUGCUACUCACACAAUAAUAUGCAUGCACACCUAAGCACACAAAUCUCGGGGAAACUUCGGUAUUGCGAUCUAAUAUGCUAUGACGAUGUGCGUGAGGACGAAUAAAUGUGUGGAAGAAUUGGUGUAAACAGAUCUACACCAAGUGCUAGCUUAGCCAGAUAGCAAUCUGAACUAGCUCGGAGGCGAGGACGUACUCGGUAAUCAUGCAGUAGGACACGAAGGUCGCAACCACAUUAUUAUCAAGCGGACGGAAAAAUACCCGUACUAGUCCAAGAAAUAGGAUGCAGGGAAAAACUGAGACUGCUGACAUUGCCCUUUCUUGAUAACUAAGAUCAUUAAGGGUUGCCAAUAUGACAAAAUAAAAGAAUGAUCUGGGAUAGACGCAUGUCCAUCACCGAAACGAUAGGCGGGAUUGAAGGAAAGACAUCGGUGCGAUACCUGAGCACCAUUUUUGCAAACAGUGUCGGGAUCACUUGGCAUCACUCUGCUGGGACAGAUAUGACACCAAACACCGAAAGAAAAAGGAACUAGAGAAAUGCAAAGGUUGAGCUGUAGUGGAUUCGAACCGAUGCCAGCUAUAGUCACCAGAUAAACCGUUCAUACAAAUACUAAGGCUAUAUGCAUGCUAUGCAACAAACAAAUGCAUCAAUCAAAUGCAACAAACCAACUAGGGUUUAUACUACCGCUUUCUAACGUUCGCGCGGUCUAGGGCGUCCUACAGCCAGACCUGCUCUGAUACCAAGCCUAUGGCACCCCGGCUCAGAGAAAACCGGAACGCCCCGUAUUCCAGCCCAGAGAUCAAGGAGAAGUCUUCUGCAAUAUGGCACAGCUUAGCAUAGAACAAACCAGCCUUCUAUUAUUACACGAAUAUGAAUACAAGGUCUCCGAUAUUAGAAUGAAUAACAUCGGUAUGGAGACACUACGCCAUCCUCAGUUGCUCUAUGCAAGCAGCAGAACAACUUGAAGCAGCGGAAUCACUCUAGCAGCGGAACAACGGCAACGGUGGUGAACUCCACUCCGCAGGGACUCUGGCUGGAACGCUUAUCCUAGCUCGCACGAACGGAAACCACGACAAGCAAGCAAUCAAAUCCGGCAUGACCUGCAAACUGGCAUGACACGCCAGGUCAGUACAUUGAAUGUACUUGCAAGCUCACAAUAAACCAGAAGCAUUCAAGGCAGACAACAGCACAACAAUUACAGGUUAAACAAGAAUUACCAUGACAUCAUCAGAAUAACAUGGCAUGACCAACAUAAACAUGAUACAACUAUCACAACAUGAACAUAUUAAUCCAACAAUACUAGCAUGCAACAUGAAACCACUAUAUGCACCACUUAUCCUGCUCGGGCUACCUCGUAACCAACACAUGCAUCACUUACCAACCUCGGACAUCACACGAUCAUCACAGAUUCAAAUCAAGCUUGGUAUAAACAAUACCGUAGCAAUCAGUAAAUGACCACAAGGAGCUUGACCUUUACCCACGACUCUCGUACAACAUCACGAAUAUACAACAACUCGGUAUCCUCGAUACCACCGUGAUCCUUACGGUGAUCACAACCACGACCAACACUUAGCCCCAAACCGUGAUCCUUAAGGCGAUCACAACCCGACCAAUAACUGGCUCGUGAUCCUUAUGGCGAUCACAAUCCGACCAAUACAUGGCCCAUAAUCCUUACGGCGAUCACUACCCGACCAAUACAUGGCCCAUGAUCCUUACGGCGAUGACAACCCGACCACUAAAUGGCCCGUGAUCCUUACGGCGAUCACAACCCGACCAACACUUGGCCAACUUAUCUCACUGUUAUUAAGCACAUUAUUUUUAUUACUGUUAGCUCAUGGUGUGACCUUCUCUCGACCUGGGCCCUUAUCCACGGGCGCAGCUAUCGAUAGAUUUAAUAUACACUCCGCAAAGGUUAGUACACUGUACCUACACUACGGAACCCAUGGCCUCGCCCUCCCAUUCGGGUGGACCAACG
rnacentral:lncRNA from 1 species